AACCAUUCAUAAAAGGGUAUGUAUUUUGAAAUCUCAUUGCAAUUUCCUAAAUUUUGUUUAACAUUUAGACUGAGUUAAAUGAAAUUGGUGUCAAGAUUCUGCAACCCGUGUUUCUCAAUUUGGGGUUGAGAGAACUUUUUCAUGCUUGCUUAUUUGAUGAUAAGUAUAGUAAUUUAGUUGUAUACAUCUCUCUUAAACAUCAUAAUUCUACUUUUUGAAAUUAUUGCUUUCGCUGUGUUGAUUAUGAUGUUUGCAGAUUGAGAUAAUUUUGCCUUAUUAAUCCUCCUUGUAUUUAUUAGUGUAAUGAAUAAACUUGUAUUUUGAUAUGCUAAUUGUGUUAUUAAGAACCAUUGAACAAAGAUCAUGUUAUCUGCAUAUUGAGAUUAUCAUUCUGGCCCUUCCUAUUGACGUUAACUCGUUCAUUGUUCUAUUGUAUCUCUUGUUUUAUUGAAAUAUGAAUGAGAAUUGUCUUUUUUUGGGAAUUGGUGCCGAUGGGAUUCUUGCUGAUAACUUUGUUGAUGAUUUUGGUUCGGCGUGUCUGUAACAAUGGCGAGGUCCAUGGGAAUUUGGAAUGAUGACAAUCCGCAUGGAUGGUUCUCAAGCAUUAAUGGAUAGUUUGUUUCUUUGAUGUGGAGUUGAGGAAUCUCAGUCGGGUUGACGAAUAUGGGUCCAGUGAUGCAUUCGGGUGAAUGAAGACACUGCAAAACCCACCCCAAAGAAAAAGGGACGAAAGCCAUCAAUUCGACUUGUUACUGUAAAUGUUGGCAAAAAAGCAGCAGAGGAUGCAAUGCAAGAAGAAGGUUGACUGACAUAGAGAAAAUUUUAGUUGCAACAAGAUGAAUUUUUCGUUAUGAAAGAGAAGCGCUGCAAUGAGACGCUGAUGGAGAAAGAGAGCCAUUGUAGUGUGACAUUGGUUGAGAAAGAGAAUUACUGUGUUUUAGUUGAUAAACAAUUUCCCAAACCAUGUUAAGAUUCGGAGACGCAUAUAAUUGAUAGAAAGUCGAAUUAUACUAUACAAAACGGGGCUGUAUUUGAU
rnacentral:sRNA from 1 species